AACGAACGCUGGCGGCAGGCUUAACACAUGCAAGUCGAACGCCCCGCAAGGGGAGUGGCAGACGGGUGAGUAACGCGUGGGAAUCUACCUAGUUCUACGGAACAACACAGGGAAACUUGUGCUAAUACCGUAUACGCCCUAAGGGGGAAAGAUUUAUCGGAAUUAGAUGAGCCCGCGUUGGAUUAGCUAGUUGGUGGGGUAAUGGCCUACCAAGGCGACGAUCCAUAGCUGGUCUGAGAGGAUGAUCAGCCACACUGGGACUGAGACACGGCCCAGACUCCUACGGGAGGCAGCAGUGGGGAAUAUUGGACAAUGGGCGAAAGCCUGAUCCAGCCAUGCCGCGUGAGUGAUGAAGGCCUUAGGGUUGUAAAGCUCUUUCAGUGGGGAAGAUAAUGACGGUACCCACAGAAGAAGCCCCGGCUAACUUCGUGCCAGCAGCCGCCGUAAGAC
rnacentral:rRNA from 1 species